rnacentral:lncRNA from 1 species
GGUAACAAAAGAAUCGUCUUGCCAGAAUAAAACACAUACAACAGAUUCAAGAGCAUUCAUGUUAUCAAAAAUCUCAAGAGUCGCAAUAUUCCUUCAAUUUUAAGUAGCGCAACGUAGCAACAAAACAAACUGGCAAAUCUAGUCACAAAUUAAUUUUUACAGCAGCAUAUCUUACCCCUUCUAGUCUCAACCAUUGCAACUUCUUAUUAGCAUAUCUCCUGAAAUUUUUGCUACAACAAGUGGGGGGAGGACAAAAAAAUUGGAAAUUCUACGAGCUUAAUGCUAAUGCAGAACCGGGAAAGAUCUAGCAAGUAGGCACUGCUUGCUACCAAGGAAAUCUCAUAACUACUAACCCCCCGCCACAAUUCCUCUUCAACUAAAAGACCAACUAUGCAUGUCGAUGCAGUUGGUCCCAUCGAUCACUGUAACUUCAAGACAAUCAAGUAUCUGCUCUUUCCUUCAACAUCAACACGGUUACAUGUUGCAUCAAUGCAACUUGCCUCUACUCACUGGAAGAAAUACAACAUUCUCCGUGUCUACUCUACAAACUCCUGUAAUCUAUUACGGUAACUUCAUCUUCAGGCGCAUCAAGAUCUUGAUAGCUGCAAAAUUGUUGAACUGUAGGUCAGUAAAGGAAGCAUGAAUAUUUAUUUUUUUCAAAGAAAGCAGUGUUUUAUUCAUAAGAAAUUAAAUCACAUUCCAUGGCAUGUAUUCAUGUAAAUGCAUUUAGGUCAGUCACAUCUCCAUUCAAACACAAAACAACUACAUUUACAGGAUUCGAUCAGGGCAGAAGUUCCUUGAAUGAAACGAAAAUACAACCAAGAUAUAACCAGAUAAAUAAUCAUUAGCUGCUCAGCUCAGGCAAUGUAACAAUAUGAUCUUUUACAGCUCUCUUGUACUGCCUUUUUCCUCUAAUUCUGAAAAUAGAUUCAAAGUGGAAAAACUUCCAUACCAGAUAGUCAUUCCGACGACUCCAGCAUAUGAAACACCAACAAAAUGCUACAAUUUGCAAAUCUAAAAUGUUACUCACACCUCCAGUAUUCAACUUCCUCGAGGAUAAUUCUACAUGUCGCAUGGAAACAGACAUACAUUUUUACAAAAAUUGUGGGAGUGAUGUGAGUAUGUCACUACAACAUAUAACGCAUGACAACUGAAUACAUAACACAUGACCACCAGCAUUACACACUGGUACUGAGGCCUACUCAUUUUGAGUAGUUGUAUUUUGGAAGUAAGCAAUUGUAACAAGAAAAGAAAAUCAGUGCUAACAGAUCUAGAGGCAAAGAAACAACUUCCAAGAAUUUCCAGAAGUAGCUCUGCUUUGGCAAGUUAGACAUUCCUCCAUAUACUUUAUAAGCAAAACAAGUUUUCUUGAUUCUGAAUCUUGCCUUGAGAACAUAACACAAACUAGACUCCUUUUGUCUUUUAUAUCUGUCCGUCUUCUUCUCAACGUGGAACCCAUGAUCAAAAGUCUACUUUAACUUAAUCUUCAAACAUAGACAAACCAGCAGGUGUAGAUUUAUCUUGGACAUGGCUCACCGUGAUUAGUAUUCACAAGAAUUGCUUCUACAAAAUCAUGCAUGAACAAGGCAAUAGCUCCAAAUUGUAGCACAAGUACCAUGUAGUGUGCGUAUCAUGCUUUCUUCUCGUUCUUUUUUUUCAAAUCAAGUAAAGUAUAAUAUUACUGAUAGUAGGAAAGCGCCUAUGUACAAUAGGUGUACAACAAAAUAGAGAAUAUACAGAAACAUAUGAUUCUCUGUGAAGACACCUGAUCUUCUGUACACAAAGGAACCCCAUAUUCACCAUUUAUCAAUAACAUUACACUUUACUCAAUCUAAAAAAAAAUCAACAGAAGCUCAUUAGCUUCAACAGUCUCCUAUUGAUUUCCCUCUAUACUACCCACAUAAGUGCUAAUGGUCCAUGCAACAACAUCCCUCGCCGACAUCUUUGCUUUCGUCCUGUAAAGGCUCAAUACAUAAUGCACCCCCUUGCAGUACCUAACAAUGUCCAUUGUAAUCCUACAAGUGGGAUUUGGGGGAGGGUGGGGUGUACACACACCUUACCCUUACCUUUGGAGAUAGUGAGGCUGUUUCUGUUAAGAUUCUUGACUCAAUAAAAACGUUUUUCAAAAUAGGUUCGAAAAAUACAAGAGUAAGGAAGCUAUGAUGAAAAUAUCAAAGGGAAGAAACAUACAAACAACAACAAUAUACACAAUAAGUGAGACCUGGAGAAGGUAGAGUGUACGCAACCCUUACCCCUACCAUGGCAGGUAGAGAGGCUAUUUCCGAUAGACCCUCGGCAAAGGAAAGAAACAUAAUGACGGCAAAAAUAGUAAGGAAACCCAAAGUAACGGAAACAACAUUAGUACUAAAAUUAAGAUGAUAGAAUAAUAAUAUUAAAAUGGGUCAGUAGAAGAGGAAGCAAAUUAAGUGCUCCAAAACUAGGUUAGUAAGUAACAGACAUUAAAAGGGUAUAAUCAAAUACCAAAUGAAAAUUACAAGCAGUGUUAUGGUUAGUAACCGGAAUUAAAAAGUGUGAAGCACGCACAAGAUAUUCUAGAUGAGUAGGGGAUAGACAGCUAGAAGCGUUGUAUUAUACAUGGGUUGUUUCCAACAUAUAGAUUUUUGUUAGCCUAACAAUACUUUUAUGAUUGUCUAAGAAUUUUAUGUUUAUAGCCCACAGGGCGUCAAAACUUUUUGAUCCAAAUGAAUAAGAGACGAUCAAUAUAGAAAAUAUAAAAAAGUGGAAUCUGACCCACCUCAAAAUAUAUAGUAAUUGUUAACCAACACGUCGGAUUUGGGACCAGUGCUAUGUCAACACGGACCUCCAACCCCACUUUCCAGGGACCAUUUAUAAGCUGAUGUGAGCCCUUGCUCACACAGCCUAAAACUCAGCCCUAGUUUUUAUUCACCGCAUCUCAACACCAAAAUAAGACUGUGCAAAGCCUUUAUUAUAAUCUUACAUCAAACCAUUCGAAGAGCCAUUAUCUAGAAUCGGCUUUUUGACCGACAUACUUUACAAGUCAUCAAUAUACUAUACCAACACUUUGGAACCCAUGUUGUCUCUUCUAACCUAAGAGAAAUAAUUUCACUUGUGCAGUACUGAAACAGUGCAAACUUCACAAUUGACCAAAUUUUACUGAUUCUAGUGAGAUGGAACAUUUGAAUGAUGGUAACUAGUAGUUUCACCAUUAAUCAAUCUGAAAAUAAUACAAUGCACAAAAUACCUUCGCAAGCGACGAGGAUCCUGUCG